AUUGAACGCUGGCGGCAGGCCUAACACAUGCAAGUCGAGCGAGCGGCGGACGGGUGAGUAAUGUAUGGGGACUGCCCGAUAGAGGGGGAUAACUACUGGAAACGGUGGCUAAUACCGCAUACUAUCGGAUAACCCAUAUGGGAUUAGCUAGUAGGUGGGGUAAAGGCUCACCUAGGCGACGAUCUCUAGCUGGUCUGAGAGGAUGAUGAGCCCAACUGGUAGUGAGACACGCACCAGGUUACGAAGGAGGCAGCAGUGGGGAAUAUUGCACAAUGGGUGCAAGCCUGAUGGAGACAUGUUGCGUGUAGGAAGAAGGCCUUAGGGUUGGAAAGUAAUUUCAGCUGGGAGGCUUUACCCGCAGAAGAAGCACUGGCUAACUCCGUGCCAGCAGCCGCGGUAAUAC
rnacentral:rRNA from 1 species